rnacentral:misc_RNA from 1 species
AAAGUCGUAACAAGGUUUCCGUAGGUGAACCUGCGGAAGGAUCAUUAACACUAAUCCCUUCUUCAAACCUAAACGUGCUCUUUAAACAUAGUGUGGAAGCACUCUAAAUAUUCGUUGACCUUUCAACCUUUUUUUAACCCCUUUAACCAAUUAAAACACUGCUUUUGUGAACUGACGUAUGUCCUGCGCUAGCAAUAGCAAUGGAAUGAAUACGAAACGCUGAACAAUUCUUAGCAAUGGAUGUCUAGGCUCUC